CAGAUGAGCCUAGGUCGGAUUAGCUAGUUGGUGAGGUAAUGGCUCACCAAGGCGACGAUCCGUAACUGGUCUGAGAGGAUGAUCAGUCACACUGGAACUGAGACACGGUCCAAACUCCUACGGGAGGCAGCAGUGAGGAAUAUUGGUCAAUGGACGGAAGUCUGAACCAGCCAAGUAGCGUGCAGGAUUGACGGCCCUAUGGGUUGUAAACUGCUUUUGUUGGGGAGUAAAGUGAGGCACGCGUGCCUUUUUGCAUUUACCCUUCGAAUAAGGACCGGCUAAUUCCGUGCCAGCAGCCGCGGUAAUACGGAAGGUCCAGGCGUUAUCCGGAUUUAUUGGGUUUAAAGGGAGUGUAGGCGGUCUGUUAAGCGUGUUGUGAAAUUUAGGUGCUCAACAUCUACCUUGCAGCGCGAACUGGCGGACUUGAGUGCACGCAACGUAUGCGGAAUUCAUGGUGUAGCGGUGAAAUGCUUAGAUAUCAUGACGAACUCCGAUUGCGAAGGCAGCGUACGGGAGUGUUACUGACGCUUAAGCUCGAAGGUGCGGGUAUCGAACAGGAUUAGAUACCCUGGUAGUCCGCACGGUAAACGAUGGAUGCCCGCUGU
rnacentral:rRNA from 1 species